AAGGAAAAGAAACCAACCGGGAUUGCCUUAGUAACGGCGAGUGAAGCGGCAAAAGCUCAAAUUUGAAAUCUGGUACCUUCGGUGCCCGAGUUGUAAUUUGGAGAGGGCAACUUUGGGGCCGUUCCUUGUCUAUGUUCCUUGGAACAGGACGUCAUAGAGGGUGAGAAUCCCGUGUGGCGAGGAGUGCGGUUCUUUGUAAAGUGCCUUCGAAGAGUCGAGUUGUUUGGGAAUGCAGCUCUAAGUGGGUGGUAAAUUCCAUCUAAAGCUAAAUAUUGGCGAGAGACCGAUAGCGAACAAGUACAGUGAUGGAAAGAUGAAAAGAACUUUGAAAAGAGAGUGAAAAAGUACGUGAAAUUGUUGAAAGGGAAGGGCAUUUGAUCAGACAUGGUGUUUUGUGCCCUCUGCUCCUUGUGGGUAGGGGAAUCUCGCAUUUCACUGGGCCAGCAUCAGUUUUGGUGGCAGGAUAAAUCCAUAGGAAUGUAGCUUGCCUCGGUAAGUAUUAUAGCCUGUGGGAAUACUGCCAGCUGGGACUGAGGACUGCGACGUAAGUCAAGGAUGCUGGCAUAAUGGUUAUAUGCCGCCCGCUUGA
rnacentral:rRNA from 1 species